GAGUAAUUCCUUCUAAAUAUCUAACACAAGAUAUUUUCCACAAUACUUCUCUUUCUUCUUCCAUCUGUUUUUCUCUAGAACUUUCUACUCCACCUCCCAUUUUUAUAUCACUCAACUCACACUCUCUCUUUCGUUAGUCCCCACAAAAACCUCACAUCAUAAAACCUCUCACAAGAACCAUCUUAAUUCUAAUUAGCAACUGAUCAAGAAGUGGAAAAAAAGAAUGGAGGAAGGAGUGAGAGUUAAGGUUGAAGAAGAUGGAAUUGCCACAACUGUGUUGCCUAUGGAAGGGUUGCAUGAUGUUGGUCCACCACCAUUUCUAAGUAAGACUUAUGAAAUGGUGGAAGAUCCUUCAACUGAUAAAGUGAUUUCUUGGAGUAAAGCAAGGAAUAGUUUUAUUGUUUGGGAUUCUCAUAAGUUCUCCACUACACUGCUGCCUAGGUUUUUCAAGCACAGUAAUUUCUCCAGCUUCAUUCGACAGCUUAACACAUAUGGUUUUAGAAAGGUGGAUCCUGAUAGAUGGGAAUUUGCAAAUGAAGGUUUUCUUGGAGGACAAAAGCAUCUUUUGAAGACCAUAAAGAGGAGGAGGAAUGUUGGUCAAAGCAUGAACCAACAAGGAUCAGGCCCUUGCAUUGAAUUAGGUUAUUAUGGAAUGGAAGAGGAGCUUGAAAGAUUAAAGCGUGAUAAAAAUGUGUUGAUGACUGAAAUAGUUAAACUUAGGCAGCAACAGCAGAGUACUAGAAAUCAGAUCAUUGCAAUGGGAGAAAAAAUCGAAAGCACGGAGAGGAAACAAGAACAGAUGAUGAGUUUCCUAGCCAAGAUUUUCAGUAAUCCCACUUUUCUCCAGCAGUACUUGGACAAACAUGUGCAGAGAAAAGAUAAACAACGCAUUGAAGUUGGACAAAAGAGGAGAUUGACAAUGACCCCCAGUACUGAGAACCUUCAAGAUGUUGUAUCAGUUGCCAUAGGAAGUGAUCAGCCAAAUAUUGGGACGGAUAUCGAAACGUUUUUCUCUGCUGCAUUGGACAAUGAAUCGAGCAGCAAUGUGGGGUCGGCUUCUGUUGUGACAGCAAGUGGAACUGAUAUAGAACUGGCGGCUGAGAAUAUAUGGGAAGAGUUGCUGAGUGAAGAUCUUAUAUCGGGGGAUCGAGCAGAGGAAGUACUGGUGGGUGAUCGACCUGAAGUUGACGUGGAAGUUGAAGAUCUUGUUGCAGAAACAACUGAAUGGGGGAUGGCAGAGUCGUGGAGGCCUAAAGCUAUUUUUUGCUAUUCUAUAUCCUCUGUUAAUGUAUAAUUGUACUAAUUUGUGUGGGAAAAGUGAAGUGCAGAAUUAAUAUUUCCUUUUCGAAAGUUAUUUUUCAGGUUAAGAUGCAGAUCUGCUUUCAUGAAGCUUUGAGGAAAUCUCUUGUAGAGCAUCAGUAUAUAUUGUUAAGUAGAUAAGAGUUUUCCCUGAACUCCUUCAUCUGUGUUAUUAGCAAAAAAAAUUCCAGAAUAAUCAUUUGAUGAGACAACAUUUCCUUGUACAUUAUUCUGAAAAUUCCUUUGCUUAGUAAACUUGAAAUUAGCACUUAUCAAUCAGAUGUCCUGUUUUCUUGCAAUAUUUACAAACCAUUCCAGAUUUCUUAUUCUCAUAAGUUUGUCUUUGUGUCCUAAAAUCAGUAGUAAAAGUUCUGUUUCCAUUAUUUGCAUUUGCAGCAACAAAAGAGGAUGAUUCCCUUGGGAAUCUAGGAACAAACACAAAGGCAUGGUGAAAAAGAGUCUAAGGUAUCCAACUCAUCCCAGAGUCGUUUCAUCUUGGUGAAAUAGGAAGCAAUAUCAUAAGCACCUUGGGUUAAGUCACUAACCUCCUUUUGGAGUUGAAAGAGCCUAGCACCUGAGCUUUGGCCAAAUCUAGCUUCCAGCUCUGUCCAGAUAUCUUUAGCAGUAAAGUAAUAUAAAACACUUUCUGAAAUUUCUCUAGAUAGAGAAUUUAAAAGCCAAGAAAUAACCAUGUUGUUGGCCCUAGAUCAAGCUCUGUGCUUAUCAGUUCCUGCAUUUGGUUCUGGGGAUGAACCAUCAAUAAAGCUAGAUUUAUUUUUUGCUGUCAAGGCUAUCCACAUACCUCUCUUCCAUCCACCAAAACUUCUCCCAUCAAACACUGCAUUAGUUAGCAGUGUGCCGGGAGAGUCUGAUGGUGAGAUGAAGUAAGGAUGAGAGGUAUGGUUAAAUUCAUUUUGAUUAGUAUUGGUCACUGUAGUGGGAACUUGGGUCCCAGAAGCAACACUACUAUCAUCUGCCAUUGUAACAGAUUUGUAAAAGUCAAGAAAUUAGUAAUAAAAACAAAAAAAAAAAAGGAAUGAAAUGAGAGCAGAUUUAGAUCGAAAGCUCUGAUAUCAUGAUAGAAAUAAAAAUACGAAGAAAUGAAUUGAAGUGAA